rnacentral:rRNA from 1 species
UACGGGGGGAGCAAGCGUUGUUCGGAUUUACUGGGCGUAAAGGGCGCGUAGGCGGCGUGACAAGUCACUUGUGAAAUCUCCGGGCUUAACUCGGAACGGUCAAGUGAUACUGUCGGACUAGAGUGCAGAAGGGGCAACUGGAAUUCUCGGUGUAGCGGUGAAAUGCGUAGAUAUCGAGAGGAACACCUGGCGGCGAAGGCGGGUUGCUGGGCUGAUACUGACGCUGAGGCGCGAAAGCCAGGGGAGCGAACGGG